AGGUUACAUUACACUAAAUCAUUGUGUAUCCCUCCGUGGUCCAUUCGAAAGUAGUGCCUAUUUCUAAAGAGUUCCUUUUCUCUUCUUGAAUAUAAGCCAUUUAACAAUGUGAGACAUGACUUUUGUGGUUAUUUGUAAUAUCCUGUAUGUGUCUGGAGUACUUUGAUGCCUUGGAUUGGAUGCUAACUUAAAAGAUGAACUUUUGAGGGUGUGUUUUCUAUUGUGUGGGGCUUUUGUCGAAAUUAGGAUUCCGAAACACGUUUUUCUACGGUGGGUUCAUUCGACAGCGAUUUACUUUCUUAGAAGUUGCGAGACGGUAUGUUUUUGUUUGCAAUUAUUGGAAGAUGACAGAUCCAUCUUUAAAAUGAUACCAGGUUCGGAAAAAUUGAUACGUCGGAAAGGCAAGAAAAAUGCUGUGAAAGUUGUCAGUUUUAUAAUGGGACCCUAUGGGAAUCUGAAUUAGUGUAAUAUAACCUUUAAAAAGCACAUUUACUGCAAUGUCAAGGUCACAUGGAUUCGUCUGCAAGCGAGACAAGUAGAAAAUGAAUUUUAAUGAAUGUUUUGAUGAUUUGGGUGCUAAAAUAGAUGAGAGGUGUCAAUAUUUUGGUCCAAAUGGAUGUUUUAGGUGGUUUUAGACGGUUCCGGAUGGGUGGGGGACCUGGUAUGGACAAGUAAGGGUAACAUUUCCAACAAAUCUUAAAUGUAAAUAUUAUUAUGUCCAUAGAUUGAAGUUUCAGGUGGAGAGCAAGAUGAAAAAUAUGCAAAAUUACAUGCAUGCAACCCAUUUAUGCCAUUUUUCUCUUUGUUUGUAGGCCUGACCGUUUGUCCUUGAGCCGUAGAUGGUCAACAAUCUGCUAGCUGUCUUGCUCUGACUGGUGCACUGGACAUGAUUUCAAUAGUCAGCCAGACCAUGAUUGAGCUUAAGGAUUGUGCUGCGGAUGCAGCCUGUGCAGUUCCGGGAGAAAGUCACUGUCUCGGGCAAUGCGGUCUGGUAUCAGGUCUGGAUGAUCCUUGCCUGACUGCGGGUUUGUGUGCACCUCAAUCCGACUCUGUGUCCUGAACAGAGGCCGCAGUGGUGCAGCGCUUGUGGACGAUCCAUCAACAUCCUGAAAGGUCAACACUACACCAAGCUGGGAAAAUUGAUCCUGAUAGUCAUCCCCAGGUAGUGGAAUGAAUGUUCACUGAACUACAGAGGAAUCACACCCAAAUGACUUUCCUGCCACGACAUUAGUGUGGCCACUCGCGUAGGAAUUCCUUAGCAAACAUGCUCUUUUGCAUGGUGACUGUGGACAUUUUUGCAAAACUUACGCUUUCAACACUGGAUUUUAAAGAGAAUACUUAAUAAAAUGUCGCUAACAGGACUUAUUUAUAUGAGAGAGACUAUCUGGAUGCGCAUUAAGUGUCACUUUGUGUCGUAAGCUGUUGAAGGAGCGAUUUGCGCCUUUUUAAGUGUUAAAUUUGGGUAGCCGGCUUGUAUCAGCUUGAAAGCUGAAAAUUAUGCCUCUCAUCAUAAUAGCAUUAAUUUUUGUAAUUGCAAUGUGUAUGUUUAGAUUGUAAGUGAAGCUUUUAAUAAUAAUUUUCUUAAUAAACAUGAUUUUAUAUGCUGUAAGUGAGUUUUUUAUUGAAAAAAGUGCUUAAAAUUUUAAAAAAGUCUCCUAUUUCAUCAAGAAAAGUACACUGAUUCACAAUCAAUACAUUUAUUUGGGCCUUUUGCUGAUAUAUUGGUGAAUUUCGCAUGCAAUGAUACCAGUUUUUGCCAUGAAAGUUACGCGUAACAAUAAUUGGAGACGCAAAAUCAGCUGUCGUCACUUAGACUAAAAAUCAUGCAUUCCGACUUUACUGCGGCCAAUUUAGUCACCGCUUUAAAUGGCCAUUUUAAGGCCUUUACCCCCAUCCGAAUGCACUGAAAUUGCAUAUUCAUUGUGGAAAUAGUUGAAAUCUCAUGUGGAGAAAGUUUGAAAAAGAUAGGACAAAGUUGAGUUCCCUUAAAGGUUACAUUACACUAAAUCAUUGUGUAUCCCUCCGUGGUCCAUUCGAAAGUAGUGCCUAUUUCUAAAGAGUUCCUUUUCUCUUCUUGAAUAUAAGCCAUUUAACAAUGUGAGACAUGACUUUUGUGGUUAUUUGUAAUAUCCUGUAUGUGUCUGGAGUACUUUGAUGCCUUGGAUUGGAUGCUAACUUAAAAGAUGAACUUUUGAGGGUGUGUUUUCUAUUGUGUGGGGCUUUUGUCGAAAUUAGGAUUCCGAAACACGUUUUUCUACGGUGGGUUCAUUCGACAGCGA